AGUCGAGCGAAUGAGAAGAGCUUGCUCUUCGAUUCAGCGGCGGACGGGUGAGUAAUGCCUAGGAAUCUGCCUGGUAGUGGGGGACAACGUUUCGAAAGGAACGCUAAUACCGCAUACGUCCUACGGGAGAAAGCAGGGGACCUUCGGGCCUUGCGCUAUCAGAUGAGCCUAGGUCGGAUUAGCUAGUUGGUGAGGUAAUGGCUCACCAAGGCGACGAUCCGUAACUGGUCUGAGAGGAUGAUCAGUCACACUGGAACUGAGACACGGUCCAGACUCCUACGGGAGGCAGCAGUGGGGAAUAUUGGACAAUGGGCGAAAGCCUGAUCCAGCCAUGCCGCGUGUGUGAAGAAGGUCUUCGGAUUGUAAAGCACUUUAAGUUGGGAGGAAGGGCAUUAACCUAAUACGUUAGUGUUUUGACGUUACCGACAGAAUAAGCACCGGCUAACUCUGUGCCAGCAGCCGCGGUAAUACAGAGGGUGCAAGCGUUAAUCGGAAUUACUGGGCGUAAGGCGCGCGUAGGUGGUUUGUUAAGUUGGAUGUGAAAGCCCCGGGCUCAACCUGGGAACUGCAUCCAAAACUGGCAAGCUAGAGUACGGUAGAGGGUGGUGGAAUUUCCUGUGUAGCGGUGAAAUGCGUAGAUAUAGGAAGGAACACCAGUGGCGAAGGCGACCACCUGGACUGAUACUGACACUGAGGUGCGAAAGCGUGGGGAGCA
rnacentral:rRNA from 1 species